GGUUGCGAUCAUACCAGCACUAAUGCAUUGGAUCCCAUCAGAACUCCGCAUUCAAGCGUGCUUGUGCGAGAGUAGUACCAGGAUGGGUGACCCCCUGGGAAGUCCUCGUGUUGCAACCC
rnacentral:rRNA from 1 species